rnacentral:rRNA from 1 species
CCUACGGGAGGCAGCAGUGGGGAAUAUUGCACAAUGGGGGGAACCCUGAUGCAGCGACGCCGCGUGAAGGAAGAAGUAUCUCGGUAUGUAAACUUCUAUCAGCAGGGAAGAUAGUGACGGUACCUGACUAAGAAGCCCCGGCUAACUACGUGCCAGCAGCCGCGGUAAU